CUUUUAUGUUAACAAUUUAGUGUGGAAACAGGAGAUGCCAUUACUACCACCACAGAAAAAUCAGGUCAUGCCGCCAUUGCACGUAUCAUCACUGGUGGAAGAAUAUGUAAGAGGGCCCUGAGAUCACUAGGUAGUGACCCCCUCAAUGCUUUCCACGCAUGAAUGCAACAUUCUGCAACCCUACUGCGCACAGCACCUCCAUGCAUAAUGUUUAAUACUGUUUAAAAUAGACCUCCAUCUGACAACUCAUCUGUAGAUCAAUGCAUAUUCCAUCCACACAUAGAAAAUAUAUAUUUCAAGUAUUAAUUUUUAUCUUUUUUCGUUUCUGGACUGACAAAUACAUCUGUUCAUGUGAAUACUUCAUCCAGAACAAAAUCACUCAUCAGUCGACAAACUUUUUGGCUUAUGCUUUCAUUGGUAUAAUUAGCUGAAACGUUUAUCUACAGUACUUCACUUAUUACAUAACAAUCAAAUAUAUUACAAUAAUUCAGGGCUAUACAAUUCUAAACAGUACAAACAUGUUAUACCCAUCACUCAUUCUUUUGUGCAUCAACUAAAAAGUUAGGAGGGAGUUUUGUUUUAAAUCUUGUAAAAACAAAUCUUUCUUUCUUUGUGUUAAAGUGCCUGUUGCAGGAUGCCAAUGUUUUCCAAAGCUUCUGCUCAAAAUGCAAAAAUAAAGACUUAUGCUAGCAUCAAA